GCGCGCUCUCUUCAUCGCCUCGCUUCGUCCCGUUCGAACGCCCUGUCCUCCGGCUCUGCACCAUGGCCAUCCGUUCCUCCAUUGGUGAUGUUUGUUGAGGUUCUUUCUAUUCUGCUCCUCCGGUUCUUUCCUGCCAUUGUUUCUACGAUUUACUAUUCUGGUCUGUUUCCAUUUGCUCCCUUCGUGCGCAGCUUCCUUGGAUUUCACGUUGGCUCCUCAGUAGGAGCGUGGGUCGUUCGGUCCUUGCUGUUUAGGUUAGUUCGAGCCUCUUUGCUUCUCUAUGGGUGCAUGCCUGUUAGGUGUUUGAUGAAAUGCGCGAGGGUUGCUCGAUGAAUGCUGCCGUGUGUUUUCAUCUUGCGUUAGUUGUGCAUGUUUCGCGGUGUCAGUUUCCGCGGCCUGUAUGAGGAUAUGAUGAUGCUGAUACUUUUGUAUGAUAGUGAUGUUUGAAGGCGAUGUGUCUUUUUGUUUUGCUUCUAUUUUGUUGCUUGUUUUACUGUUUGCGUUUGGAUGCAUGAACGCUUUUGUUUCCAUCGUUGCGCCUAUUUUGGAGUUCCCAGGAGAAUCACAGCAGCUACCAACGGACGCAGAAGAGAUAUGUGCCAUAUUUUCUCCAGCCGAAGAACAUUCCGUCAAUGACCAGCCUAAAGAACAGCCAGAUGAGGAUGAGGUGGCAAGCAUGGAAGUAACCCACAGGCCACAGCCAGUUUUCUUCAUAUGCGGCAUUGUACAAACAAUAUGAGAAUUCACGGCACGGUUCUGAGAGGCAGUACCAGCGAUGGUCAAAAUACCUUACGGGAUGAUGUUGGAUGUUCUUUUAGAGACUCUGGGCCUUCCACCAGCUGAGUACCGAACCAGAGUAUAUUGUGGCAGCAGGGUGUGUGUGACUGUAUUGUUCCAUACACCCACAUCAUAUGUUGGGAAUGAUAUGAAUCGAAUGGCUAUUCUCGGGGUACAAUCUGUUGAUCAUUCUAUGUCAGAAGACAGUGCUGCUAUGGAAGCAAUUGGAUACAUUAAAUGCACAGUGAAGACAGAGAUAAGAGACUAUAAUUGCAGCACCAUGAAGAAACUCGAGGAGGAAAAUCGUUCUCUAAAACAUGAGGUUAAUAUAGCUAGGUACAGCAAGAAGAAGAUGAAGACAAAGAUCAGAUCCAUCAAGAACAAGCUAAUUAUUGCUACAUAUGAAAAGAAGCAAAACGCUAUGGGCUGGUUCGUCUUAACAAGGUACAUGCAUGGAUUAUCUGAUCAUAUAUCCAACGUAACGGUGUUGAAUAUGUCAUCUGGGAAAGGACCCAUAGAUAAGAUUAUCAAUGACCCUCUUAUCAACAUAGAGAAGAAAAGAAGCUAAGAGCCAUCAGGAUGGGUUUUUAGAACCUGGGCCUUUCAAUCUAUGUUGUAUUCUGCUCCUUUUGCUUACCGUAGCUGCAGAAGCUAGAUGCAAUUGUAUAAUUAGCUUUCUCUUUAAACCAAGACUUGCCAAAGCUAUGUGUGUAAGAAGUAAUGGUACCAUUUAAUAUAUUCCUAUAUGAACGAUGU